GAUGAACGCUGGCGGCGUGCCUAAUACAUGCAAGUCGAGCGAACGGACGAGAAGCUUGCUUCUCUGAUGUUAGCGGCGGACGGGUGAGUAACACGUGGAUAACCUACCUAUAAGACUGGGAUAACUUCGGGAAACCGGAGCUAAUACCGGAUGAUAUUUUGAACCGCAUGGUUCAAAAGUGAAAGACGGUCUUGCUGUCACUUAUAGAUGGAUCCGCGUUGCAUUAGCUAGUUGGUAAGGUAACGGCUUACCAAGGCAACGAUGCAUAGCCGACCUGAGAGGGUGAUCGGCCACACUGGAACUGAGACACGGUCCAGACUCCUACGGGAGGCAGCAGUAGGGAAUCUUCCGCAAUGGGCGAAAGCCUGACGGAGCAACGCCGCGUGAGUGAUGAAGGUCUUCGGAUCGUAAAACUCUGUUAUUAGGGAAGAACAUAUGUGUAAGUAACUGUGCACAUCUUGACGGUACCUAAUCAGAAAGCCACGGCUAACUACGU
rnacentral:rRNA from 1 species